rnacentral:rRNA from 1 species
UAGCAUAUCACUAAGCGGAGGAAAAGAAACUAACCAGGAUUCCCUCAGUAACUGCGAGUGAAGAGGGAUCAGCCCAGCACCGAAGCCUGUGGCCGUUUGGCUGCUAGGCAAUGUGGUGUUCAGGUCGUCUCUUGGCAUUACUGCUCCAUCCUAAGUCCAGUACUGAGUAUGGCAUCUGGAGUGGCCCAUGGAGGGUGAAAGGCCCGUGGGGGUGGAGAUCAAGUUGGCCAGUUCUGCCCUGAGUAGACCUUGGAGUCGGGUUGUUUGUGAAUGCAGCCCAAAGUGGGUGGUAAACUCCAUCCAAGGCUAAAUACUAGCACGAGUCCGAUAGCGAACAAGUACCGUGAGGGAAAGUUGAAAAGUACUCUGAAGAGAGAGUAAACAGUGCGUGAAACCGCUCAGAGGUAAACGGGUGGAGUUGAACUGUAAGCUCCGGGGAUUCAGCUGGUGAGUGUGUCGUGGGCUUGGUCAUUUUCGGCCGGCCUCUAGAGUCCGCUUAGCUGCGGGUCCUUGCUCCUUCGGGGGUAGGGAUGUGCGUUGCGCUUGUCAAGUGCUGUGCGCUCUGGGGGUUGCCGGGCUGGCUUGCCAGUGCACUUUCUCGGAGUGGUCACCACGACCGGCGUUGUUGCCUUGCGGCUGUAGUCGAACCGGUCAGGUUUAGUCCUUGUGGCUGAGCUUGAUCGGGAUGGCAGGUAGCUCAUUGGCUGACUUGUUCAGUCUUUGGGUGUAAUCAGCCGGCUGCAGUGGUUCUGUGCAAUGCGUCGGAGACGGCGGCUUUAGGUAUGUGCUUGUGUGCCGUGGGCUGGCAGUGUCGGGUUUGACUGGCGUGUUUACCUGUUUCGGCAGGUCCGUUGGUAGCUCGGUGCUGUUCGGUUUGCGGUUGCACUUGUGAUACCGCUCAUGGGCCUAUAGUCUGUGGUGUAGCAGCAAACGAUCCACCUGACCCGUCUUGA